UACGGGGGAGGCAAGCGUUGUUCGGAUUUACUGGGCGUAAAGGGCGCGUAGGCGGCCACCGCAAGUCGACUGUGAAAUCUCCGGGCUUAACUCGGAAAGGUCAGCCGAUACUGCGGGGCUAGAGUGCAGAAGGGGCAACUGGAAUUCUCGGUGUAGCGGUGAAAUGCGUAGAUAUCGAGAGGAACACCUGCGGCGAAGGCGGGUUGCUGGGCUGACACUGACGCUGAGGCGCGAAAGCUAGGGGAGCGAACGGG
rnacentral:rRNA from 1 species